AUGCCUCCGAGAUACCUGAUAGCUAGUUUUUUUUUUUUUUUGGAUAGCUAGUUAUUCAAGUCGACCUUAAAAAUAAAACGCUGUGUGUUUAUUUUACGCAAUGAAAAUGAUUGUUUCUGUAAUGACCCCAACCCUAGGCUUUGCCCAAGGGUCAAGUCAUUUUUCUUUAGAGAGAGAGAGAGAGAGAGAGAGAGAGAGAGGGGAAGGAAGAAGCUCACCAAGAGUCCUCGCCGGAGCCACCGCACGCCAGGACGUCGUCAAGCUCGUCAUCACCAUCAACCGCAGCUCGAGGCCAUCAUCGUGUUCCUCUCGUCAAGACGAAGCCGUAGACACCAACCGCGCCGCGAUCGGAGCCUGGACGAAUCCGUACGCGCCUCCCGAAGAUUCGCCUCGGCGAGCGCGUGAAACACACGCGCCGCCGCCAGACCACCGUCCUCCGCCGCAGCGCCGCUGCCGGACCACCGUUCUCCGCCGCAGCUCCGCCGUCGCCGCCGGCCAACUUACCGAUUUGGAGUCCAUUUGAGCAGCUGGAGUUCAUAUAUACCACUUCUCUUCAUUGCUAAGGUGAGACCGAUGAGCAGAAGUGAUUUUUCGGACCGGUGCUAUUGGGCUUUUGGGCUUCUAUCGUUUUAUCGAUUUUAUCGUUAUCGGGCCUCUAGGCCUUUGGACUUUUAUCGUUAUGGUAUUUCGUAUUUUGGAUUCUCGGUUUAUGUCGUACCUUAUAUUUCAGAUUUUAUUUUAUAUUAUGGAAUUCAUGCGUGGAUGUGGACUUUCAAAUAUUUAUAUAUGGAUAUUUAAGAUAUUUGUAUU